CUCUUCAGGAAGUGCCUCUAGAAAUGCAGGAUCAAUUGAUCGAGAAUCAGCAUCCACAUUAGGUUGCUGUUCUUCACCUGGACCACUUUGUUCUGCUUCUUGACUUGGAUGUUCUGAAGCUUCAGAUACACUAUGAAGGGCUACAUCCCUCGCACUUACCUGUGUAGAAUUUCCAAAAGAAACAUUAGUCCUCCUAGUUCGAAC
rnacentral:lncRNA from 1 species